UCCCGCUGUGAUCCCCGCGCUGAUCCCUGCACUGAUCCCACUCAUCCCAAUGAUCCCAAUGCUGAUCCCGCUGUGAUCCCCGUGCUGAUCCCCGUGCUNNNNNNNNNNNNNNNNNNNNGCGGACGGAGCGGCCGCGCCCCAACACUUUUGUCAUUCAUUUUUCCCCCGUUUUUCCCCAUUUUCCCCCCGUUUUUCCCUGUUUUUUCCCAUUUUUCCCCAUUUUCUCUCAGAUUUUUCUCGAUUUCUCUCAGAUUUUUCCUGUUUUUUCCCGUUUUCCCCCGUUUUUUCCCCGUUUCCAGAGUGCCAGCUGACGCGGACGGAGCGGCCGCGCCCCAACACUUUUGUCAUUCGCUGCCUGCAGUGGACGACGGUCAUCGAGAGGACGUUCCACGUGGACACGGCCCAGGAGCGGUGAGAGAUCCCGGGGAUCCCAGGGAUCCCAGAGAUCCCAAUCCUGAUCCUGGAAAUCCCGGAGAUCCCAGAGAUCCCAAUCCUGAUCCCAGGGAUCCCAGAGAUCCCAAUCCUGAUCCCAGAGAUCCCAUGGAUCCCGGAGAUCCCAGAGAUCCCAAUCCUGAUCACAGGGAUCCCAGAGAUCCCAGAGAUCCCAAUUCUGAUCCUGAAGAUCCCGGAGAUCCCGGAUAUCCCAGUGCUGAUCCCAUGGAUCCCAGGGAUCCCGGAGAUCCCAAUCCUGAUCCUGGAGAUCCCGGAGAUCCCGGAGAUCCCAAUCCUGAUCCCAGGGAUCCCAGAGAUCCCAGUGGUCCCAGUGCUGAUCCCAGUGAUCCCAGAGAUCCCAAUGAUCCCCCUGAUCCCAGUGCCCCCAGUGAUCCCAGAGAUCCCAGUGCUGACCCCAGUGAUGCCAAUGAUCCCAGUGAUCCCUGUGAUCCCAAUGCUGAUCCCAGUGCUGAUCCCAGAGAUCUCAGUGAUCCCCGUGAAGCCAGUGCUGAUCCCACUGAUCCCAAUGAUCCCUGCGCUGAUCCCAAUUGUCCCAAUGCUGAUCCCGCUGUGAUCCCACGGAUCCCCAUGCUGAUCCCUCUGUGA
rnacentral:lncRNA from 1 species